rnacentral:rRNA from 1 species
GAAUAUUGGACAAUGGGGGAAACCCUGAUCCAGCAACGCCGCGUGGGGGAUGAAGGUCUUCGGAUUGUAAACCCCUGUUGGGAGGGGCGAAGGCUUUCAGGCGAACAGUCCGGAAGCUUGACGGUACCUCCAGAGAAAGCUCCGGCUAACUCUGUGCCAGCAGCCGCGGUAAUACAGAGGGAGCGAGCGUUAUUCGGCAUUAUUGGGCGUAAAGGGCGCGUAGGCGGCCCAGCAAGUCUUGGGUGAAAUCCCACGGCUCAACCGAGGAACUGCCCCGGAAACUGCUGGGCUUGAGGCCGGGAGAGGGUGGUGGAAUUCCCAGUGUAGCGGUGAAAUGCGUAGAUAUUGGGAGGAACACCAGUGGCGAAGACGGCCACCUGGACCGGUUCUGACGCUGAGGCGCGAAAGCGUGGGGAGCAAACAGG